UGGAUUUGAAUAAUCUAUCAUGUGAUUUCAUGGUGAUUUCAUGAGCAGAAACAAUAAAGAUGGAAGGAUGUGGGUGUGACACAAUGUGUGUCUAGUGUGAGGUGAAUUCUCUUUGCUUCUAUACUCCUCAAGCUGGAGCAGGCUGGUCAAAUACACAGCAACACAACCAGACUCAGCUGUGGAUCACUGGCAUCACACACAUCACACAACCAGAAACCAGCAUUUAAAGGUAUACAAAAAGACAUUUCACUGCGUUUUAUCUUUGAGUAGCUGGACUGUCAACAAUGUUGUUUAAAUUUAAUUGUGUGAGUGUUUUUCACCAAGAACUCCGCUAGCAGAAUCACAUUUGUUGUGCAGGGUUUUGUUAUGGUAUCUUUUCAGCUCCAGUGCUGUAACGCCGACCAUCCUGCAUCCUGCCCAAAAUGGAGAAGCUGGCGGGGGCUCAUCUAGAGAGGCUCAUCUCAGGCCAUCAGCGAGGACAAGCUGGGCAAAUGGCAGCACCAAGUGUGGCCCUGUUCAGAAGAGUGCUGCCAUUUGCCCAGCUUGUCCUCGCUGAUGGCCUGAGGUGAGGCUGAUGUGAGAGGACAUUACGAGAGGGACCUGACCGGAGCUCCAAGAGGACAGGGCACAGAGAGCACGCAACCCUUUAGGACAGCCAAAUCGCCAACUGCGCUUGCACUGUGUGACCAGCAGCUCCAUCAAACCUGACAUGCGAAUGUGACUGACAAGGGCUUUGAGGCUUUUCUCCGAAUUGCAAUUCUCCUGAUGUAUGACCUCAAGCUAGAGGGCACUGCAGCGGAGGCCACAGGUGGAGUCUCCAUGGGGCAGCAUGCUGAUGCCAUGAGGUCCACCUGUACUCCGCGUUCUGGGCUCUGCCUUCUCUACACAGCGUUCUGGGCUCGCCUCCACGGCAGAACCUCAGCCGAACUCUGCCUGGCAAGGCAACCCCACCCCCACUGGGCCUGAGCCAGGCUGAAUGGGUGGACACACCGAGAUUUCAAAUGACUAUCAGACUGAAUAUGGCAUGCUGACGUUAAAGCAAUAAACAGACCAUUCUAAACUGCCCAGUCACAGAUGUACUGUACCUGUAUGUUUCUAAAAUCUGUCAUUUUAAACAAUUCGUUUCAAAGAGAGGUAGAUGCAUGAAUGGAACAUGAAUGGAACAUGUUUGAAAGGGGGUACUUCUGUUGCUAUGAUGAUGUUUCUAUUUGCUCUCGCUGCAACCCUGUUGCCUGUCAGCUCUGCUCCGUCAGGCAGUGAUAACACUGCUUGCACACAUGAUACACACACACACACACACACACAUAACAGUUUAUUUAGUUUGGUGUGUGUGUGUGUUGCUUACUAUUUCUUAGUU